rnacentral:rRNA from 1 species
UCGAACAGACCUAAACUUUUAGCUUCUACACCAAAAUUUUAUUUUAAUCCAACAUCGAGGUCGCAAUCUCUUUUUUCGAUAAGAACUCUCAAAAAAAAUUACGCUGUUAUCCCUAAGGUAACUUGAUCUUUUAAUCUUCCACUUAGGAUCAACUAUUCAUAAAUUAAUGUAUAAAUAAAAAAAAAGUUAACUAAAUUUUUCAAUCACCCCAAUUAAAUUAAUUUUUAUAUAAAAAAGUAAAUUCUAAAAAUACCUAUAUUAAAUUAAUAAAGCUCUAUAGGGUCUUCUCGUCUUUUAUCAAUAUUUAAGCUUUUUUACUUAAAAAUAAAAUUCUAAUAAAUUUAAAUAGAGACAGAUUUUUUCUCAUCUAACCCUUCAUUCAAGCUUUCAAUUAAAAAACUAAUGAUUAUGCUACCUUUGCACGGUCAAAUUACCGCGGCCAUUUAAAUAUUCAUUGGGCAGGCCAGACCUUAAAUUAAACUCAAAAA